rnacentral:rRNA from 1 species
AAAUAACAAUACAGGGCCUAACGGUCUCGUAAUUGGAAUGAGUGAAGUAUAAACCCCUUUACGAGUAUCAAUUGGAGGGCAAGUCUGGUGCCAGCAGCCGCGGUAAUUCCAGCUCCAAUAGCGUAUAUUAAAGUUGUUGCAGUUAAAAAGCUCGUAGUUGGAUUUCUGUUGUAUAAUUUAUAAUAUUACCAAGGUAAUUAUUAUAUUAUCAACAUCCUUCCUAUUAUAUUCUAAAUAUAUAGGAAACUUUACUUUG